rnacentral:rRNA from 1 species
UAACACCAGCCCCUCGAGUGGUAGGGAUGAUUAUUUGGCCUAAAGCGUCCGUAGCUGGCCCUGUAAAUCUCUCGUUAAAUCCAACGUCCUAAGCGUUGGGCUGCGAGAGAGACUGCAGAGCUAGAGGGUGGGAGAGGUCAGCGGUAUUCCUGGGGUAGGGGCGAAAUCCAUUGAUCCCAGGAGGACCACCAGUGGCGAAGGCUGCUGACUAGAACACGCCUGACAGUGAGGGACGAAAGCUGGGGUAGCGAAUCGGAUUAGAUACCCGAGUAGUCCCAGCCGUAAACGAUGCAGGUUAGGUGUUGGGUCGGCCAUGUGCUGGCUCAGUGCCACAGGGAAGCCAUUAAACCUGCCGCCUGGGGAGUACGGCCGCAAGGCUG